AGACAAACUCCGAAUGCCAAUUAAUUUAACUUGGGAGUCAGAACAUGGGUGAUAAGGUCCGUGUUCGAAAGGGAAACAGCCCAGACCACCAGCUAAGGUCCCAAAAUAUAUGUUAAGUGGAAAAGGAUGUGGCGUUGCCCAGACAACUAGGAUGUUGGCUUAGAAGCAGCCAUCAUUUAAAGAGUGCGUAAUAGCUCACUAGUCGAGUGACACUGCGCCGAAAAUGUACCGGGGCUAAACAUAUUACCGAAGCUGUGGAUUGUCCUUUGGACAAUGGUAGGAGAGCGUUCUAAGGGCGUUGAAGCAUGAUCGUAAGGACAUGUGGAGCGCUUAGAAGUGAGAAUGCCGGUGUGAGUAGCGAAAGACGGGUGAGAAUCCCGUCCACCGAUUGACUAAGGUUUCCAGAGGAAGGCUCGUCCGCUCUGGGUUAGUCGGGUCCUAAGCUGAGGCCGACAGGCGUAGGCGAUGGAUAACAGGUUGAUAUUCCUGUACCACCUAUAAUCGUUUUAAUCGAUGGGGGGACGCAGUAGGAUAGGCGAAGCGUGCGAUUGGAUUGCACGUCUAAGCAGUAAGGCUGAGUAUUAGGCAAAUCCGGUACUCGUUAAGGCUGAGCUGUGAUGGGGAGAAGACAUUGUGUCUUCGAGUCGUUGAUUUCACACUGCCGAGAAAAGCCUCUAGAUAGAAAAUAGGUGCCCGUACCGCAAACCGACACAGGUAGUCAAGAUGAGAAUUCUAAGGUGAGCGAGCGAACUCUCGUUAAGGAACUCGGCAAAAUGACCCCGUAACUUCGGGAGAAGGGGUGCUCUUUAGGGUUAACGCCCAGAAGAGCCGCAGUGAAUAGGCCCAAGCGACUGUUUAUCAAAAACACAGGUCUCUGCUAAACCGUAAGGUGAUGUAUAGGGGCUGACGCCUGCCCGGUGCUGGAAGGUUAAGAGGAGUGGUUAGCUUCUGCGAAGCUACGAAUCGAAGCCCCAGUAAACGGCGGCCGUAACUAUAACGGUCCUAAGGUAGCGAAAUUCCUUGUCGGGUAAGUUCCGACCCGCACGAAAGGCGUAACGAUUUGGGCACUGUCUCAACGAGAGACUCGGUGAAAUCAUAGUACCUGUGAAGAUGCAGGUUACCCGCGACAGGACGGAAAGACCCCGUGGAGCUUUACUGUAGCCUGAUAUUGAAAUUCGGCACAGCUUGUACAGGAUAGGUAGGAGCCUUUGAAACGUGAGCGCUAGCUUACGUGGAGGCGCUGGUGGGAUACUACCCUAGCUGUGUUGGCUUUCUAACCCGCACCACUUAUCGUGGUGGGAGACAGUGUCAGGCGGGCAGUUUGACUGGGGCGGUCGCCUCCUAAAAGGUAACGGAGGCGCUCAAAGGUUCCCUCAGAAUGGUUGGAAAUCAUUCAUAGAGUGUAAAGGCAUAAGGGAGCUUGACUGCGAGACCUACAAGUCGAGCAGGGUCGAAAGACGGACUUAGUGAUCCGGUGGUUCCGCAUGGAAGGGCCAUCGCUCAACGGAUAAAAGCUACCCCGGGGAUAACAGGCUUAUCUCCCCCAAGAGUUCACAUCGACGGGGAGGUUUGGCACCUCGAUGUCGGCUCAUCGCAUCCUGGGGCUGUAGUCGGUCCCAAGGGUUGGGCUGUUCGCCCAUUAAAGCGGUACGCGAGCUGGGUUCAGAACGUCGUGAGACAGUUCGGUCCCUAUCCGUCGUGGGCGUAGGAAAUUUGAGAGGAGCUGUCCUUAGUACGAGAGGACCGGGAUGGACAUACCUCUGGUGUACCAGUUGUCGUGCCAACGGCAUAGCUGGGUAGCUAUGUGUGGACGGGAUAAGUGCUGAAAG
rnacentral:rRNA from 1 species